rnacentral:rRNA from 1 species
UACAGAGGUCUCAAGCGUUGUUCUGAUUCAUUGGGCGUAAAGGGUGCGUAGGUGGCGCCGUAAGUCGGGUGUGAAAUUUCGGAGCUUAACUCCGAAACUGCAUUCGAUACUGCGGUGCUUGAGGACUGGAGAGGAGACUGGAAUUCAUGGUGUAGCAGUGAAAUGCGUAGAGAUCAUGAGGAAGACCAGUGGCGAAGGCGGGUCUCUGGACAGUUCCUGACACUGAGGCACGAAGGCCAGGGGAGCAAACGGG